GUGGGGAAUAUUGGACAAUGGGCGCAAGCCUGAUCCAGCCAUGCCGCGUGAGUGAUGAAGGCCUUAGGGUUGUAAAGCUCUUUCAGUAGGGAAGAUAAUGACGGUACCUACAGAAGAAGCCCCGGCUAACUUCGUGCCAGCAGCCGCGGUAAUACGAAGGGGGCUAGCGUUGUUCGGAUUUACUGGGCGUAAAGCGCACGUAGGCGGAAUGUUAAGUCAGAGGUGAAAUCCUGGAGCUCAACUCCAGAACUGCCUUUGAUACUGGCAAUCUCGAGUCCGGAAGAGGUGAGUGGAACUCCUAGUGUAGAGGUGGAAUUCGUAGAUAUUAGGAAGAACACCAGUGGCGAAGGCGGCUCACUGGUCCGGUACUGACGCUGAGGUGCGAAAGCGUGGGGAGCAAACAGGAUUAGAAACCCUUGUAGUCC
rnacentral:rRNA from 1 species